CCACCUCUUCCCAUUCCGAACAGAGAAGUUAAGCCUCACCGCGCCGAUGGUACUGCCCGCAAGGUGGGAGAGUAGGUUGCUGCCGGUU
rnacentral:rRNA from 1 species